rnacentral:lncRNA from 1 species
UUUGUUCUCUAAUCUUUCCAACGACUUUCAAAAUAUAUAUGCUUAGUCAUUGCAUUUUAGUAAAUAACAAAUCAUUUCAAUAAGGUUUUCGUCGCUACCCACCAUCCCCGUGUUAUCAUUUCAUUUCAUUACAAAACACAACUACACAUCAAUCAUCAUAUCGUAUCAUCUUUACAACAUCUCUCUAAGGUUUUUAUUACAUCGAUCAAAGAUUUCAGUUUUCUUAUUUAUUUCAUUUCUGUGUUUCACAAAUAAAUAAAAAAUGGGAGGGUACAGAGCCGACGAUGACUAUGAUUACCUCUUUAAACUAGUCUUGAUCGGAGAUUCUGGCGUCGGAAAAACUAACCUCUUAUCUCGGUUCACUAGAAAUGAAUUCAGUAUCGAGUCAAAGUCAACCAUCGGUGUCGAAUUCGCUACGAAAAGCGUUCACGUCGACGAGAAAAUCAUCAAAGCUCAGCUUUGGGAUACCGCCGGUCAAGAAAGGUAAAUGUUUUGUUUUUUUUCUUUUUAUUCUCGUUAUCAGAAUCGUAUUUGAGAUUUAUGAGACCAUGAUCAGUUUUAUGUUAAUUUUAAUAAAUAAGUUCAAUAAUUUGGAGACCAUGCAACUUAUAUAUAAUAUUUAUUUGAAAUUCGCAAACUAUUGUGAAUGUUACAUCCGAUUGUGCUACACAGAUACAGAGCAAUCACGAGUGCAUACUACAGAGGAGCCGUAGGGGCUCUGCUCCUGAACUUUAAUCGGAAUCCUCUAAAACCCCAAAAGCGCCAAGCUUUCACUCUCCUCCUCCUAAGCUUCGAUUCUGGAGCUCACUCUUUCUUCAAUGGCGUUAACCAGCAACAAAGUCCCUUCUUUACGCCUUAUACCCACCACCGGAACACUCUUAAACCCAUCAAAAUCGCUCUCGCUUCCCAGAGUUUCGUUCUCUCUCUCUUCCGCUGCUUCUCCCAAGCUCACGACUUCAAGAAAGGUAAGGCCUUUUCUAAUGGGUUUGUCUCGAAAAUGCAAAUUUAACUGUUCCGAUGGCGAAUCGAUACUCUAGGUGAUAGCAAUGGCAGUGGAAGGUUCGAGAGAUUUGGAGAUGUCGAACUUAACGGCGUUAUCGCCUUUGGACGGACGUUACUGGGGGAAAGUUAAGGACUUGGCUUCUUCUAUGAGCGAGUUUGGUUUGAUUUACUUCAGAGUACUUGUUGAGGUAUUAAGGAGAAUGUUUAUGUUCUGCUUCAUUGAUUGAUUGAUGUUUGUGUUGUUUUAAUGCGCACGUGCGUAUGUUUGGUUUAGAUUAAAUGGCUUAUUAAGCUUUCAAAGAUUCCUGAAGUCUCUGAAGUUCCAAGCUUUAGUAAAGAAGCUGAGGUUUACUUGCAAGGGAUCAUCGAUGGGUUUGGCGUGGAUGAUGCGUUGGAAGUUAAGAAGAUUGAGAGAGUAACGAAUCAUGACGUGAAGGCUGUUGAGUAUUUCUUGAAACAAAAGUGUGAAUCUCAUCCAGAGAUUGCUAAGGUUACACGCUUCUCUCUUGGUCCAAGUUCUUACGGUUUGGGUUAAGUUUCUCUGUCUUUUGAAUCAUUUCAGGUUCUUGAGUUUUUUCAUUUUGCUUGCACGUCUGAGGACAUCAACAAUCUAUCACAUGGUUUGAUGCUUCAAGAAGCACUUAGCUCGGUUGUACUUCCAGCCAUGGAUGACCUGAUCAAGUCAAUCUCUCUGAUGGCUAAGGAGUUUGCAUAUGUCCCCAUGCUUUCAAGAACUCAUGGCCAGGUCAAUCUCCAAAGAUAAAUACACCAUUUUUUUCUACAGUAAUUCGUUUUUAUCCAUCCCUUUGUUAAAGCAAUGGUCAAAACUAAAAUUGCAGCCAGCUUCACCUACAACACUAGGGAAAGAAAUGGCGAUAUUCGCUGUGAGGUUAAGCGAAGAGAGAAGAUAUCUUUCAGAAACUAAGAUCAAGGGCAAAUUUGCAGGUGCUGUUGGGAACUACAACGCUCACAUUUCAGCAUAUCCUAAUAUCGACUGGCCUCAUGUUGCAGAGGAGUUUGUUACUUCUCUGGGAUUAACCUUUAACCCAUACGUCACUCAGGUAUAUACUUACUAUAUAGUUUUAUCUUCAUUACAUUUUUUCCGCAUAUAUCAUUGAGUGAGCGAUUGUUCUCAUGGUUUUUUUGCAGAUUGAGCCUCAUGACUAUAUGGCUAGACUAUUUAACACGAUCAGCCAGUUCAACAAUGUUUUAAUUGAUUUCGACAGAGAUAUAUGGAGCUACAUUUCUUUAGGUUACUUUAAGCAGAUAACUAAAGCUGGUGAGAUUGGAUCAUCGACAAUGCCUCACAAAGUGAACCCUAUUGACUUUGAGAACAGUGAAGGGAACCUAGGUAAAGCUAACGCAGAGCUUACUUUCCUCAGCAUGAAGCUUCCCAUUUCACGAAUGCAGGUUUGAGCAUUUUCUCCUUUUAUGUAGAUCUCUUCUAGAGCAAUGGGAAUUGGGAGUCUGAAAACAAAAUGUACAAAUGUGCAGCGUGACUUAACCGAUUCGACUGUCUUGAGAAACAUGGGUGGAGCUUUAGGACACUCUCUUCUUGCUUACAAGAGCGCCAUACAGGGAAUCAGGAAGCUUCAGGUAUUAUUAUUACCGUAUCCCCUAAGAAAGGUUUCUUUCUGUCAUAAUAGGCUAAGAAUGUUUCUUGGUGUAUAGGUUAAUGAAGCUCGGUUAAAAGAAGAUUUGGAUCAAACUUGGGAAGUUCUCGCUGAACCGAUACAAACUGUAAAACCUCUCUUGAGUUUCUAGUCUUCUGUUAAUGAUCUAGCUACUUCCAUGUAUAUCACUGAUUCAUGGUAUUGUCUUACAAAGGUGAUGAGGAGAUAUGGAGUUCCGGAGCCGUAUGAGAAGCUGAAGGAGCUGACAAGAGGAAGAGCAGUGAAUGAAGAAAGUAUAAGAGAGUUUAUAAAAGGUUUGGAUUUGCCUGCAGAAGCGAAAUCUCAACUUUUGAAGUUAACUCCACACACAUAUGUUGGUGCUGCUGCUGCGUUGGCUUUGGCCGUCGAUGAAGCUCUGCACUUGUGACAGUGAUGAUGAUCAGUGAUCAUAUCGGUGAUAAGGUUGUGCUGUUGUACUAUUACUCUUCUCCAAAUGAAAUAGGAAGAAGUAGUGAAGAACAAAGAGUCAGAUUGAUGAGUUCUACGUUGUCGUUUUGAGUUGCAUGUCAUAUGAAAGAAAUUUUUUACAUUUGAGUUAAAUAAUAAAGAAUUUCAAAUUAUUUUCUUUUCAUUUGACUGGUUUAGGUUUUUUAUAAUCAAGUGUUUGUUAAUCAAUAUCCAGGCAAACGUGAAAUGAAUAGAGUAGUUAAGUACAUUGGGAAUUGAUGUCAUAUUCAGAAUUAUAACCGACCCAUACCAAAAACUCGAACUGACCCAACCAAACUUUAAACUAAACUAACCAAAAUAAACCGAAUUUAUUUAAAAUGUUAAGAAAAUUAAACUGUUGACCAAAAAAAAAAAAAAAAUUAAACUAAAUUUAACCGAAAUCAAAAUUUUCAUCUAAAUUUUCAAAUUUCGGACUAACCGAAUACCGAACCAAAUUUUAUUUUCGGAUUAAUUUGGUAAAACUUAUGUCGAACCGAAUUAACAGAAAAUCAAACUAUCCGAGCUAACCGAAUUCACAUGCCCAAUUCUAUUUAUUGUUAGCACUUACAUGAACACAUACGUUUUACCAUGUCUCAUGUCAAAUAAAGUUUACAAGAUCUACGUAGUUCUAUUUAUUGUUACCAUUUUUACAUGUACACAUGUUUAUCAUGUCUUCUUCUUUUUUUGUAACACUAUCAUGUCUAGUCUCAGAAAAAAAAAAUCAUUAUGUUUAUUUUAGGGUUGGUAAGAUGUAUAUUAGGUCUCAAUCCCUUCAAUAUUUUUAACAACUAUUGUUAUUUAUUCAUAAAAAGUACAAACAAUAACCAUAAAUACAUUGAACAUAAUUAAUCUGAAAGAACAAAAACAGUUAGAAAGUAAAAACUGAUGAUACUUCUCUAUAAGAGGUCUUGUUAUCUGAGCUUCAAACAAAUUAACUUGUUAGUUUGCUUCUGCCUAUUCACUCUUGAUCCCAUACGAUUUUCAAGUUCGGCUAUCACCCAUAGAUGAAAUUCCAAACUUUAUAUCAUAACAUAAUCACUACAAUACCAAUUUUUUUUUUUUUGUAUAACAUUAGCCCACUCCAAAUUUUAGAUCUAAAAAUAUCUUUCUAUAAAGAACCCAAUGUAUUAGUUCUUUUGAAAAGAAUAAAAAUUGAAGUUACCAAUUUUCAAUGACUAUAGAAACAUCACCGUACAACAAAAGUAGUAUAUCUUCAGUUACGAACCAUUGUCUCCUCCAUAGAAGUUUCCAUAGUUUCAUCAAUAAAUCAGUUUUCUCAUAUUCAUAUACCACAUAUAUUGUAUCCAAAUAUGAGCAUUAAUCGAUUCUUCCUUUCGUGUUGCAAGUCUCUUUGCUUGGCUAUCAAACUUUCAUCAUCAAACUUUAAUAGCCAAAAGUAACAAGCCAUCUUCAAAUUAUCAUAUAAUUUUUCUGACGGAUUAUCUUCCACCAGUAGAAGGAAGAUGAAAGUACGUUUAAGAUAGCAUCUCAUAAGAUGUGGAAUAGAUUUUCCUAAAAUCUGAUCCAAAAAACCAUAGAAAUUGGCCAUCGGUCAUGGGUAUAAUAUAAAGACCAAGUCGGAGAUAGAAGAUGCAUAAUGGAUGCAACCGUGCAACAUCUCACAAACCUAAGCCCGCGCGCAAGUAAAACGUUCAUUCAAGAGUCAUAAAUCGGCAAAGCAAAAAUUGGCCCCUAGAAACAAGAAAGGUACAUCUCACCCAGAUCAAAGAUUUAGCGUUUUCAAAUGGAGAUCGGAAUAGAUCUAGAAUGAUCAAUUUACAAAAUGGAUCAAAAGAUAUCUCCAGAAUAAUCAAUGGUGUAAGAAUCAACCAAAGAAACAAUGAUGUAUUCUUCAUUAAACAAUUCCGGUGAAGAAACAAAAAGUAAUAGGAAAGAGUUGUUCGUACGGAGUUGUUCGUACAUACUCCCUCACUCGUUCGUCUUCUUCCUCGUCGCUUAAGACUAGGCAUUCAUCAAAUGACGCAAAUGGUAGAAAAUCAGUGAGAAAGGCAUGAAUUGAAGCAUAAUAAAAUCAUCGCCUUUCUGAUUGCAGAGCGUCUCAAUCCCUUCAAUUAUUCAAAAACACCAAAAGUCUAAAAACAUGUGGCUAUCAAUAAUCUCACAUCUACUCCAUAGUUCCUAAAACAUUAACUGAAAAUGUCAUAAAAUUAAAACGACAAUUUAUUAGUACCAUAAGUAACAUUUUGCAAAAUAUCUUCCUACAUAUUGCUAUCUUUUUAUUUAUGGAAAGUUUCCUAGUGGUUUGAUUUGACCAAAGCUAUCAAUUAAAUUAAAAAAAAUAAUAUUCGAUACAACCAUAAUAUAUAUUCUGCAAGUGUAUUUGUUCUGCGUUUACCAAUUCAUGGCGGCCACAAACCUCGAGACAUCGUCAAACUCAAACAUGUUUGUUCUCUAAUCUUUCCAACGACUUUCAAAAUAUAUAUGCUUAGUCAUUGCAUUUUAGUAAAUAACAAAUCAUUUCAAUAAGGUUUUCGUCGCUACCCACUAUCCCCGUGUUAUCAUUUCAUUUCAUUACAAAACACAACUACACAUCAAUCAUCAUAUCGUAUCAUCUUUACAACAUCUCUCUAAGGUUUUUAUUACAUCGAUCAAAGAUUUCAGUUUUCUUAUUUAUUUCAUUUCUGUGUUUCACAAAUAAAUAAAAAAUGGGAGGGUACAGAGCCGACGAUGACUAUGAUUACCUCUUUAAACUAGUCUUGAUCGGAGAUUCUGGCGUCGGAAAAACUAACCUCUUAUCUCGGUUCACUAGAAAUGAAUUCAGUAUCGAGUCAAAGUCAACCAUCGGUGUCGAAUUCGCUACGAAAAGCGUUCACGUCGACGAGAA